CAGUCGCCGCGGGAAUAUGAAGGGGGCUAGCGUUGUUCGGAUUUACUGGGCGUAAAGCGCACGUAGGCGGAUCGAUCAGUCAGGGGUGAAAUCCCAGAGCUCAACUCUGGAACUGCCUUUGAUACUGUCGAUCUGGAGUAUGGAAGAGGUGAGUGGAAUUCCGAGUGUAGAGGUGAAAUUCGUAGAUAUUCGGAGGAACACCAGUGGCGAAGGCGGCUCACUGGUCCAUUACUGACGCUGAGGUGCGAAAGCGUGGGGAGCAAACCGGAUUAGAGACCCGCGUAGUCCCUGUCUCUUAUAC
rnacentral:rRNA from 1 species